ACCCGGCCUGUUAUGCACCCUUAUUAGCAACCAUGAUGCAAAAGGCCGGGCAAAGUUGACCCACCAGUGUUUUGGGGGAAACCUGAAAGGCUUCGCCUGUUGGAGGCCGUUUAACUCACAUUGUUCUGAAACGCGGGAAUCUCUGUCUCUCUCUGCAAAUAACAGAUGUCAAUAAGGAAUUACAGUGGACAAAAUUCAUGAUUUGAAUGAUGGUGUUUUGAAGGUACCAUCAGACUUAUUUUGACAUACCCUUUUAUACGUUUUCUUUUGUCUCGCACUCUCCGGAUAUUUAAUACGUGGAACAUGUUUCACAGUACAUUGUUAGUAGAAACACUGAAGUAAUAGAAUUUCUUUGAAAUGUUAUUUA